GCUCAUUUUGGCAGUGCAUAUACUAAAAUUUAAAUACUAGAGAAUAGAUUAGCAUUUCCCGUUGCACAAGGAUGACACACAUUCUUGAAUCAUUCUUUAUUUAA